UGAAAAGCGAUGAGCGUGCACAGUAGAGAACUGUUUUCCAUCAGAGAGAGAAGGUCACUGGCUGUAAGCCUUCUUUGGUUCAGACGGCAAUCGAAAUUCCCACGUAAGCUGCAUUUUUGAAAUGAUUUCAGAGUAGAAAGUGCCGUCUAUUGUACGUUACACAAGACCAAGUGCUCACAGGAAGACUGUGGGAAUUAGGGUGGUACCGCGAAUACAGACUUCGUCCCUUUU
rnacentral:ncRNA from 1 species